rnacentral:rRNA from 1 species
CCUACGGGAGGCAGCAGUGGGGAAUAUUGCGCAAUGGGGGAAACCCUGACGCAGCAACGCCGCGUGAGUGAGGAAGGACUUCGGUCUGUAAAGCUCUGUUAAUGUGGAAAAAUGGUAGUUGGUCUAAUAGGCCGAUUAUUUGAUGGUACACAUAGAGGAAGCACCGGCUAACUUCGUGCCAGCAGCCGCGGUAAUACGAAGGGUGCAAGCGUUGUUCGGAUUUAUUGGGCGUAAAGCGCGCGUAGGCGGACCUGCAAGUCAGAUGUGAAAUCUCGGGGCUCAACCUCGAAACUGCGUCUGAAACUACAGGUCUAGAAUCUUGGAGGGGGAAGGGGAAUUUCUCAUGUAGGGGUAAAAUCCGUAGAUAUGAGAAGGAACACCAGAGGCGAAGGCGCCUUCCUGGACAAGUAUUGACGCUGAGGCGCGAAAGCGUGGGGAUCAAACAGGAUUAGAUACCCUGGUAGUCCACGCUGUAAACGAUGAAUACUAGAUAUUGCAGGAUUUGACCCCAGCAGUGUCGUAGCUAACGCGUUAAGUAUUCCGCCUGGGAAGUCGGUCGCGAAGACUAAAACUUAAAUGAAUUGAGG